GUCUACGGCCAUGCCACCCUGAACGUGCCCAAUCUCGUCUGAUCUCGGAAGCUAAGCCAGGUCAAGCCUGGUUAGUACUUGGAUGGUAGACUACCUAGGAAUACCAGGUGCUGUAGGCG
rnacentral:rRNA from 1 species